GGUGAACUACUUUUAUUUAUUAUUCCGCAGAACAGCUCUGUAGAGUUUUAGUUGGGAAAAAGGGAUCAUUGUGUUUCAUCAUUGUGCCCCUUGUGUUUCAGGAGGAUCAAAUGAUAGACUAUAGCUUGCGUAGAGCUAGGCUGUUUCAGUGGUUUUACAGAGUAAACUCUACCGCACACCCAGGGCCAGAUUAAGAUCUUUGGGCGCCCCAGGUCACCAAGGUUACCCAUAUGGUAGAUCUGUGCACACUAGUGGAGUAGCACAUAGCACACAAGCUCAAGUCGAAACUUAGCUGAAGUUCAGAGAGCUUACUGUCUUACUGUACUCAUAUAGGUUUAAUGGAAUAAAACCUUUCAGUGAAUUUAUUGCUUUUGGUAUCAGCUGUAUAACUUCUUGCAAAUCAGUCUUCUUGCAGUUUUCUGCUUUACUAGGUAAAAUGUUAUGACGUGAGUUGGCUAGUCACAGAAGCUGAGGUGAAAACAGACGAAUAGCACUUUAGACUGACUGAAUUCUUGGUGUAAAUUUCACACUAUAUGUGACCUAUUAUGGCCCUUCAUAGUCUGGUUUUGGAACUGCUGUAAUAGAGAGGUAAUGAGUGACACUGAGAAAGUGAGCAGUGCUCAAAGUCUAAGUCAGGAGAGAACUCAGUUAUGCUGUGUUGCGUUAUACUUUGGCAUCUCACCACUGGCUUGUGCUGCCGUGGGAGCAUGGGAGGUGUGGCCAUGCAGAGCGGCCACACAGAGAGGCCCUCGGGAGGCACCAUACUUGCGUGUGUCCAGUGCAAAAGAGGAGAGAGAGACAAUCACAACCAUAUGAAGCGAGGUGUACGGGAGGAUACCCCUCUCUCCGCUCUGACUCACCCGUCUGCCGCCGUUUCCAGAACAUUGCAGUUAUGCUAACAAAACUGCAAACCUGCAAAGGAAGACAACUCAACACUGAGUCUGAAAGGAUGUGUAGCUGUCG